rnacentral:rRNA from 1 species
CCUACGGGUGGCUGCAGUGGGGAAUAUUGCACAAUGGGGGAAACCCUGAUGCAGCGACGCCGCGUGAGUGAAGAAGUAUCUCGGUACGUAAACCUCUAUCAGCAGGGAAGAAAAUGACGGUACCUGACUAAGAAGCCCCGGCUAACUACGUGCCAGCAGCCGCGGUAAUACGUAGGGGGCAAGCGUUAUCCGGAUUUACUGGGUGUAAAGGGUGCGUAGGCGGCAGCAUAAGUCUGGAGUGAAAUCCCGGGGCUUAACCACGGAACUGCAUUGGAAACUGUGCGGCUGGAGGGCAGGAGGGGUAAGCGGAAUUCCUGGUGUAGGGGUGAAAUGCGUAGAUAUUAGGAGGAACACCGGUGGCGAAGGCGGCUUACUGGAAUGUAACUGACGUUGAGGCUCGAAAGCGUGGGGAGCAAACAGGAUUAGAUACCCGUGUAGUC